CCUACGGGGGGCUGCAGUGAGGAAUAUUGGUCAAUGGGCGCGAGCCUGAACCAGCCAAGUCGCGUGAGGGAAGACGGUCCUAUGGAUUGUAAACCUCUUUUGUCGGGGAGCAAAAGACGCCACGCGUGGCGUUCCGAGAGUACCCUAAGAAAAAGCAUCGGCUAACUCCGUGCCAGCAGCCGCGGUAAUACGGAGGAUGCGAGCGUUAUCCGGAUUUAUUGGGUUUAAAGGGUGCGCAGGCGGAAGAUCAAGUCAGUGGUAAAAUUGAGAGGCUCAACCUCUUCGAGCCGUUGAAACUGGUUGUCUUGAGUGAGUGAGAGGUCGGCGGAAUGCGUGGUGUAGCGGUGAAAUGCAUAGAUAUCACGCAGAACUCCGAUUGCGAAGGCAGCAUACCGGCGCGCAACUGACGCUCAUGCACGAAAGUGUGGGUAUCGAACAGGAUUAGAUACCCGGGUAGUC
rnacentral:rRNA from 1 species